UUGGAGGGCAAGUCUGGUGCCAGCAGCCGCGGUAAUUCCAGCUCCAAUAGCGUAUAUUAAAGUUGCUGCAGUUAAAAAGCUCGUAGUUGAAUUUCGGGACCAAUAUGUCGGUCGUGCCUCGGUACGUACUGGCAUCGUUGGUUUCUCCCUUCUGAAGAACCAUGAUGUCAUUUAUUUGGUGUCGUGGGGAAUCAGGACUGUUACUUUGAAAAAAUUAGAGUGUUUAAAGCAGGCUCACGCUUGAAUACAUUAGCAUGGAAUAAUGAAAUAGGACGUUUGAUUCUAUUUUGUUGGUUUCUAGGAUCGACGUAAUGAUUAAUAGGGAUAGUUGGGGGCAUUAGUAUUCAAUUGUCAGAGGUGAAAUUCUUGGAUUUAUUGAAGACUAACUACUGCGAAAGCAUUUGCCAAGGAUGUUUUCAUUAAUCAAGAACGAAAGUUAGGGGAUCGAAGACGAUCAGAUACCGUCGUAGUCUUAACCAUAAACUAUGCCGACUAGGGAUCGGAUGAUGUUAAUUUUUUAAUGACUCAUUCGGCACCUUACGGGAAAC
rnacentral:rRNA from 1 species